rnacentral:rRNA from 1 species
AUGAACGCUGGCGGCGUGCCUAAUACAUGCCAGUCGAGCGAACGGACGAGAAGCUUGCUUCUCUGAUGUUAGCGGCGGACGGGUGAGUAACACGUGGAUAACCUACCUAUAAGACUGGGAUAACUUCGGGAAACCGGAGCUAAUACCGGAUGAUAUUUUGAACCGCAUGGUUCAAAAGUGAAAGACGGUCUUGCUGUCACUUAUAGAUGGAUCCGCGCUGCAUUAGCUAGUUGGUAAGGUAACGGCUUACCAAGGCAACGAUGCAUAGCCGACCUGAGAGGGUGAUCGGCCACACUGGAACGAAGACACGGUCCAGACUCCUACGGGAGGCAGCAGUAGGGAAUCUUCCGCAAUGGGCGAAAGCCUGACGGAGCAACGCCGCGUGAGUGAUGAAGGUCUUCGGAUCGUAAAACUCUGUUAUUAGGGAAGAACAUAUGUGUAAGUAACUGUGCACAUCUUGACGGUACCUAAUCAGAAAGCCACGGCUAACUACGUG